rnacentral:rRNA from 1 species
GGGGAAUAUUGGACAAUGGGCGCAAGCCUGAUCCAGCAAUGCCGCGUGAGUGAGGAAGGCCUUAGGGUUGUAAAGCUCUUUCGGCGGGGACGAUGAUGACGGUACCCGCAGAAGAAGCCCCGGCUAACUUCGUGCCAGCAGCCGCGGUAAUACGAAGGGGGCGAGCGUUGUUCGGAUUUACUGGGCGUAAAGGGCGCGCAGGCGGCAGACCAAGUCAGGCGUGAAAGCCCCGGGCUCAACCUGGGAACUGCGUCUGGGACUGGUUUGCUAGAGAUCGGGAGAGGAGAGUGGAAUUCCCAGUGUAGAGGUGAAAUUCGUAGAUAUUGGGAAGAACACCCGUGGCUAAGGCGGCUCUCUAGUACGGUACUGACGCUGAGACGCGAAAGCGUGGGGAGCGAAC